rnacentral:rRNA from 1 species
UCCCUAUGGGGUGCAGCAGUCGCGAAAACUUUGCAAUAAGCGAAAGCUUGACAGGGCUAUCCCGAGUGCCAUCCGCUGAGGAAGGCUUUUACCCAGUCUAGAACGCUGGGGGAAUAAGGAGAGGGCAAGUCUGGUGUCAGCCGCCGCGGUAAUACCAGCUCUCCGAGUGGUGUGGAUGUUUAUUGGGCCUAAAGCAUCCGUAGCUGGCUAGGUCAGUCCCUUGUUAAAUCCACCGAAUUAAUCGUUGGAUUGCGGGGGAUACUGCUUGGCUAGGGGACGAGAGAGGCAGACGGUAUUUUCGGGGUAGGGGUGAAAUCCUAUAAUCCCGGGAAGACCACCAGUGGCGAAGGCUGUCUGCUAGAACGCGCCCGACGGUGAGGGAUGAAAGCUGGGGGAGCGAACCGGAUUAGAUACCCGGGUAGUCCCAGCUGUAAACGAUGCAGACUAGGUGUUUGGACGGCCACGUGCCGUUCUAGUGCCGCAGGGAAGCUGUUAAGUCUGCCGCCUGGGGAGUACGAUCGCAAGAUUGAAACUUAAAGGAAUUGGCGGGGGAGCACCACAGGGGGUGAAGCUUGCGGUUUAAUUGGAGUCAACGCCGGAAAUCUCACCGGGAGCGACAGCAGUAUGAAGGCCAGAUUAAAGGUCUUGCCAGACGAGCUGAGAGGAAGUGCAUGGCCA